AAAGGCAACAUACAGUAUAGGAGAAAAUAUUUACAAAUCAUAUAUCUGAUAAGGGGUUUAUGUGCAGAAUGUAUAAAGAAUACCAAAAUGGCGGUGUUCGGGUAUGAGGCGGGGGCUAAGCUGAGGGAUUCAGGUGUGGUGCGGGUGGGAAUUGAGGAAGCGCCCAAGGAUGUCAAGAUGACAGCAUCUAUGCAUGGUCAACCUAGUCCUUCUCUAGAAGAUGCAAAACUCAGAAGACCAGUGAUCAUAUAAAUCAUAGAAAAAAAUUUUGAGUACCUUAGAAAAGAAAUGACACCAAAUAUAUAUCAAACGGCAUCAUUUGGGACAACAACUGGUUUCUCUGGAAUAUUCUCAAACUUCCUGUUCAGACGCUGCUUCAAGAUAAUAUAAGCAAGGAAAACUGUGUUUUCAGAAGCUCACUGAUUGGCAUAGUUUGUGGUGGUUUCUACCCCAGUUCUUUGGCGUUUACUAAAAAUGGACAUCUGGCAACCAAGUAUCAUACCGUUCCACUGCCACCAAAAGGAAGGGUUUUACUCCAUUGGAUGAUGCUUUGUCAAACGCAAAUGAAAUUAAUGGCGAUUCCUCUAGUCUUUCAGAUCAUGUUUGGAAUAUUAAAUGGUCUACACCAUUAUGUAGUAUUUGAACGGACACUUGGGAAAACUAUACAUGAAGAGGAACCAAAAAAAUGAAUGGUUGCUAACUUAGCAGAAUGAAGUUUU